rnacentral:tRNA from 1 species
UGGGGGAUCGUCUAGCGGUAGGACGCAAGAUUCUGGAUCUUGUUACCGAGGUUCGAAUCCUUGUCCCCCAGCCA